rfam:Schistosoma curassoni strain Dakar, Senegal genome assembly, scaffold: SCTD_contig0000107
ACCCACCUGACGAGUCCAAAAUAGGACGGAAAGCGCAUUCUGGAU